CUCAAAGAUUAAGCCAUGCAUGUCUAAGUAUAAGCAACUAUACGGUGAAACUGCGAAUGGCUCAUUAAAUCAGUUAUCGUUUAUUUGAUAGUACCUUACUACAUGGAUAACCGUGGUAAUUCUAGAGCUAAUACAUGCUAAAAACCCCGACUUCGGAAGGGGUGUAUUUAUUAGAUAAAAAACCAAUGCCCUUCGGGGCUCCUUGGUGAAUCAUAAUAACUUAACGAAUCGCAUGGCCUUGCGCCGGCGAUGGUUCAUUCAAAUUUCUGCCCUAUCAACUUUCGAUGGUAGGAUAGUGGCCUACCAUGGUAUCAACGGGUAACGGGGAAUUAGGGUUCUAUUCCGGAGAGGGAGCCUGAGAAACGGCUACCACAUCCAAGGAAGGCAGCAGGCGCGCAAAUUACCCAAUCCCGACACGGGGAGGUAGUGACAAUAAAUACUGAUACAGGGCUCUUUUGGGUCUUGUAAUUGGAAUGAGUACAAUUUAAAUCCCUUAACGAGGAACAAUUGGAGGGCA
rnacentral:rRNA from 1 species